rfam:Triticum urartu cultivar G1812 contig158170, whole genome shotgun sequence.
CAAUUACUCCUUCCAUCCCAAAAUUCUUGUCUUAGAUUUGUCUAGAUAUGGAUGUAUCUAAUACUAAAACGUGACUUGAUACAUCUGUAUUUAGACAAAUCUAAGACAAGAAUUUUGGGACGGAGGGAGUACAUU